rnacentral:rRNA from 1 species
UACAGAGGGGGCCAGCGUUAUUCGGAAUUAUUGGGCGUAAAGGGCGCGUAGGCGGCCCUGCGUGUCUUCCGUGAAAUCCCUCGGCUCAACUGAGGACGUGCGGAAGAAACUGCAGGGCUCGAGUCCGGGAGAGGAGGGUGGAAUUCCCAGUGUAGCGGUGAAAUGCGUAGAUAUUGGGAGGAACACCGGUGGCGAAGGCGGCCCUCUGGACCGGUACUGACGCUGAUGCGCGAAAGCGUGGGAGCAAACGGG